UGUACUUACAUACACACAUGCGCGCGCGUGCGCUAAAAAUUGUCGUAUAUUAUAUAAUAUAGAUAGAUGUGCGGCAUGUACAAUAAAUUGAAAAUCGCACCUGACGAGUUUCGCGAAAUUUUAAAACUGUUUCAAUCAAAUAUCAAGCCGAAUAACUUCCCAGUUCUCAUUUCCCAUGGCAAUAAAAUUGGCAAAAUAUCAAUACUGGCACGAAACCUUACGUGCUUUCCGCUAGUGAGCAAAACUUUUUCCAAUGAAAACACAGCGCCCUCUGGAUCUAAUAAAGUAAAACGUUGAUGACGAACCUUUUCGGUUUUCUUGUGCAAUUAUAGUAAUUCAUAAAUGCGUAUCGAUGAAAUAAUACAGCGAUUCCGUUCGUACAAUCUCCACGCGAAUAAAACUUGUUCCUUUUGUCUUAUCUUGUAAACGAUGGCGCUAUAGUAUAUCGAAUAUCAAGUGGCAAAGCUGAUCAGCUUAAAGUCCAAGUAUUCGCUCUGUGCACGUGGGCGGAGCACAAAAUCUAAUACUACUGCACUAAUAGUAUUAGUGUAUUCAUGCAUACUGCCAGCGCCACCGUAAAGGGGACUCCGGCGUUUUUGGGGGAAUACGUAUACACAACACACGCUCACUUUCAAAGUAGUAUGUGUACGCGCAUGGAGCGAUCGAAUACCGCUGGCUCAUCGCGUGCACGAGUCUCUCCUUUUCCGCAUCUCGUAAUCCACUCGCAUACAGCCAUUUAAUAUUCACAAAUCUAUUUUUCAAUGAGUACCAAAAAACCACCAUCGGAAAUAAGCAAAAAAGAUCCAAAUAUACCCAUCAUACAGCGUUAGGUAAAAAGCAAUACAUCCGCAAGAUGCAUUCAAUCAGACAUUGACAAUUUGAAAAUUUCAAAAAACGAUCAACUUGCAUACGCAACUGAGAAAAGCAUCAUCUCAAAUUCUCGUACCGAAGUCGGUGGUUCGGACGGAUAUAUACGAGUUGACUCGAUGGUAAUAAUAAUCAUAAUAAUAUUCAGAAUGAUGAUAAUGGUAAUAAUGUAAGAAACGCAUACAAGGGCAAACGCAUAUCAACUAGGCAUAUACAUGUGUCAAUAUGUAGUACACAGAAGCACGAUGGCUCAAGCCCUAUGAAAACCCUAAGCCUUACCCAUCCAAUUACAUAAAUACGAAUUCUUAUGCCACAGAUAGAGGGAGGAAGAGGUAGAAAAGGAGAGGGUGAAGAAGAAGAAGGAGAAAAAAACGAUAUGAACACAGACAGAAUAGAAUUUAGAGAAAAAGAGAGAGAGAGAGAGGGAGUAAAAAAAGAGGAAGAGAAAAGAAAUAAAAUGCAAGAGAGCUAAGAAAAAAAUGAAAGGGGCAGGAGGAGAGAAGAGGGUGAGAAAGAGUCGGUGAAAUGGUGUAUACGUGCAUGCGGUUGUAUAUCAGUGAAGAGGAUAAUCAGAAUAACGAGUAAAAAAAUGAAAAUGGUGGGGUAAUUACACUGGUGGGGUAAACUCGUCGCUCUAUCGUAAUCGUUACAUAACGUCAUUAAAGUAAUGAGCGCAGUUGUUCAGGAUCAAAAGAGUCGUCAACUAAAAAACUGCAGUAAAAACAAAGCCUUAAUGGAUUAUUAAGGCGUUGAUGUACAGAGUGAGGCUGCAUUAUUCAGACGGACGCAUACAUAUCUACGUGCGUUAACGUGAAUGCAGUGUGCAUGCAAUAUGCAUGAGAACCUUCGGGGAUUACGAAAAAGCUCGUUAAAGGACGUUUUGUACAUGAAUUAAUCGACGUGGACUACCGGGCGAAGUAAGAAAUGUAAUGCCACUGUCGGGACCGGAGAUUUACGUUGCGUACACGAAUAUUCUCCUAUCAAACGUCAUGCAUGUAUACUGUGACGAUUUUUUAUUUUUCAACUAAAGAGUAAAUAAGGGAGCUAUCACAGACGCUUUCCCGUCCGUUUCGUUCUAUGCUCCGGCCACGCAACAAUUUCGCAAGGAUUUCCAUAGGGCAUAGUUAUAAAAGGAAGGAAUCUUUGAUUUAUUCACUGAUUUUGUAUUUCAUGUUAUUUGGAAGCUUCGAUUUCGAAUUAAAGGAACCCCAAUCGUCGUUGUCAAUGUAUUUUGAGCGGGGCUCAUACAUUUAGCCGUUUCCCGUGUGAGACGAAAUGAGGGAAAGAUUCAGAGAGAGAGAGAAAGGAACAUUCACAACGUCGGCGUACUUCGAGCAGGGCUUGUACGCAAUACACUGACAUUACACCAAAACGCACACAAGUACAAGGUGGGUACAACGAAAUGUUCCGAAAGUUCGAGAAACUUGAAAUUUCUAACGUGGGAGAAGUGAACAACACAUCGAUACUAACAAUAAGCAGGGAAGUUCCGUUAAAAGGGGCAUCAGACCUUGUUAGAAUUGGAACGUUUACCCUUCCCGUCGUCGUUCAUCGCAAUUUUCGCUAUUCUCUGGUUAGGGGUUAUUGCUAACUUCGAAAAAUAAAUAAUUAUUCCCGCGUAAAUUUAGGGCCCCGUCUAACGCCCAUUAUAGAGAAAAAUUGAUGCGACGCACCUGUUACUGGACAGUUGAAAAUUGGGGAAAGGAGGGGCGGUAACGUGCUGUGUAACGAGAAUCGAUCUCGUUAGAUUUUCGUGGAGUAUCGAGCGGACUGGACACUGGACGUGCGAUCUCGGAAAUUAGUCACACCCGCGGUAAGUCCAACCUUUCGUUGUUCAUUUCGGUCGAUGGACUCUUUGAAUAGUUAUUCCCGUGGAUUAAUGUUUCUUAAUUAAUUUCAUGGUAUUGUGAAAUUUCGCUCCGCGAUCUAAUCAGUUUGAAUAUCGAGAAAACGUGUCACGACGGCGGCUCUGCCCCGUAGAAAGUCGGCUUUCGAUCUUUGUUGCCCGCGUUCCGUGAGCUCGGGGUAGAGAAGUAAAGUCGGAUAAAUUUUCAGUUGCGUGGCCGACAUGAAAAUCUCAAAUUUGGUUUAGUAAUCGUUUGUUUCAUGAAAAAUUGAAGGAAAAGCUCGGGAAUAUGUGUGAGAGAAUAUGAGUGAGAAAGAGUGCGCGUGGUUCGGGAUUGCGAACGCGUGUGACGGGUAAUAGCUCGGCUGAGUAGCCGAAUAUCGGGGGCUCAGUAAUUUUAUUCAUCCCGUAAUUAUUUGUUAUAGAAUUUCAUCUUUAACGAAUUUCUGACCACGAGUAGAACCGUGACAGAAAAUACGGGCCCGUGAUAGAUUAUAGUGAGUGUAGGCUCCCGAUCGAAUGUGUGUCAAGAUUGUACCGUGAGUUCGCAACUUUUUCUCCCGUCUUUAAGAUUUAAUUAUUGUAAUUUUGAAAAGUGAUUGUUAAAUAAUAAUUGAAAUAUUUUUUUUUUACUAAUUUUUUUCCACUCGUA
rnacentral:lncRNA from 1 species